GACGAACGCUGGCGGCGUGCUUAACACAUGCAAGUCGAACGGAAAGGCCCUGCUUUUGUGGGGUGCUCGAGUGGCGAACGGGUGAGUAACACGUGAGUAACCUGCUCUUGACUUUGGGAUAACUUCAGGAAACUGGGGCUAAUACCGGAUAGGAGCUCCUGCUGCAUGGAGGGGGUUGGAAAGUUUCGGCGGUUGGGGAUGGAUUCGCGGCUUAUCAGCUUGUUGGUGGGGUAGGGGCUUACCAAGGCUUUGACGGGUAGCCGGCCUGAGAGGGUGACCGGCCACAUUGGGACUGAGAUACGGCCCAGACUCCUACGGGAGGCAGCAGUGGGGAAUAUUGCACAAUGGGCGGAAGCCUGAUGCAGCAACGCCGCGUGCGGGAUGACGGCCUUCGGGUUGUAAACCGCUUUCGCCUGUGACGAAGCGUGAGUGACGGUAAUGGGUAAAGAAGCACCGGCUAACUACGUG
rnacentral:rRNA from 1 species